rnacentral:rRNA from 1 species
UGGGGAAUCUUGGACAAUAGGGGGCAACCCUGAUCCAGCCAUGCCGCGUGAGUGAUGAAGGCCUUAGGGUCGUAAAGCUCUUUCGCCUGUGAAGAUAAUGACGGUAGCAGGUAAAGAAACCCCGGCUAACUCCGUGCCAGCAGCCGCGGUAAUACGGAGGGGGUUAGCGUUGUUCGGAAUUACUGGGCGUAAAGCGCACGUAGGCGGACCAGAAAGUUGGGGGUGAAAUCCCGGGGGCUCAACCCCGGAACUGCCUCCAAAACUAUUGGUCUAGAGUUCGAGAGAGGUGAGUGGAAUUCCAAGUGUAGAGGUGAAAUUCGUAGAUAUUUGGAGGAACACCAGUGGCGAAGGCGGCUCACUGGCUCGAUACUGACGCUGAGGUGCGAAAGUGUGGGGAGCAAACAGGAUUAGAUACCCUGGUAGUCCACACCGUAAAACGAUGAAUGCCAGUCGUCGGGUAGCAUGCUAUUCGGUGACACACCUAACGGAUUAAGCAUUCC